rnacentral:rRNA from 1 species
AACGAACGCUGGCGGCAGGCCUAACACAUGCAAGUCGAGCGAGAAGGUCAUUUCGGUGACUGGAGAGCGGCGGACGGGUUAGUAACGCGUGGGAACGUGCCUUAAGGUCUGGGAUAACUAUUGGAAACGAUAGCUAAUACCGGAUGGUCCCUUCGGGGUAAAGCUUUAGCGCCUUAAGAUCGGCCCGCGUUAGAUUAGCUAGUUGGUGAGGUAACGGCUCACCAAGGCGACGAUCUAUAGCUGGUUUGAGAGGAUGAUCAGCAACACUGGAACUGAGACACGGUCCAGACUCCUACGGGAGGCAGCAGUGGGAAUAUUGCGCAAUGGAGGAAACUCUGACGCAGCCAUGCCGCGUGAGUGAAGAAGGCCUUCGGGUUGUAAAACUCUUUCAACGGUGAAGAUGAUGACGGUAACCGUAGAAGAAGCACCGGCUAAACUUCGUGCCAGCAGCCGCGGUAAU